GUGAGAUUUGAAAUAAACCGAUGAUCACAUUCUUGUGACUUACGCCUUGCAGGCAAAGGAAUUUUAUAAUUAAACACACGGGCUAGGACGCUGUAGAUACUCACUGCUCAAGAAAAAUACUCAUUCUGUUUAAAAAAAGGAUAAAACAAUGUCAAUACAUCAAACCACAUCGUGUCCAGUGGAGUCAUGCUCAAUGUGUUGCGAUGGAUAUACUUUAGAGGGUAAUGGUAAAAUUAAAUGUGGAAUGCAUAUUGAAGUUUCCGGACAAAGUCAGUGUGCUAUUGUGGGCUCAGGGGUGCCUUCAGGGGUGCCUUCGUUUAAACAUCAUGCUGUGGUUAAAAGUGUCGUGUCAGCGGAUGAUAACUCCGUCACGGUAGAAAUAAUUCAUGUAACUGGACGGAGGGACACACAAGGAAAUAUAAUACGGAUGGAAAGGGUAACGAUUCAAAAAUGUGACUUGGCAAUCAUACGACAUCCAGAUAUUGCUAGGGACGAAGUAGUUGAAAACGCACUUGAUAACUUCUUCAGUCAAACGGAUGAACAAAAAUACGAUGCUUGCACUAACAACUGUGAACAUUUUGUUCAUAAAUGGAUAAAAAGUAAAAAGGAAAGUCAUCAGUCUUCAUCGUGGAAACAAGUUGUCAUAGGAUUAGGAAUCAUGAGUAUCGUAAUUCUGUGUUUUAAAUUGGGAAACCGUCGUGUACCAUAAUGCCGUGAUACAUUGGUUCCCUUUUGAAUUGUUGGCCCGUCGUGCGUUGUUUUAACUUUCAAAGGUUUGUUAAAACCUACUAAACAAAUGGACACAGUGACGACUCUAAGUCAACAUUGCCAUAUUAUAUCAUUGAAUGCAUACAAUUUGGUUUAAACCAAUGUUUAAAAAUAUUGUAUUUAAACGUUUUUCUAUUUAUUUGUGAUUUGUCUUAAAUUUACUCAGCCUUUCAAUCUUUUUGUCACUUUAACGAUCGUUGAAUAUUAUUUUGACUCUUAUUUUCAUUUUUUGAACUACUGUUACAACAUAAGCUGCAUCUAUCUAUGAUACAUACUUGAUUUAUAUGCUAUUUAUAACAUAUUUGUCCAUUGAUAUAUCUUAAGAAAAUAAACAUGUAUUUCUUUCUUAAAAUCAUUGACGAUCUUACGCAAACCUGGCAAUAAACCUCCUUUUGAAAUGAUCUAGUUUGAAUAGGUAUGGUUGUCAAUAUCGAUAAGGUAACAAUUACUUUUUGUAGAACAUUCAAAUCGUUUGCCGGCUGUUUAAGAAAAACGAUAUUCAGCUAUUAUUACAAAUAUUUGAUUUUAACAAAAUCCAUUGCAGCCUAUGUAUCUUAAUUUCAAACGUAUUUGAAUACGAUACACUCUAUUUGAUAUUUAUUUAUUCAUCCUUUUAUUUAAUUAAAGUUAUUGAAAGCGUGAAUGUACCAAAUCUUUAUUUAAAAAAAAAUAUGUUGACCAAUUAGAAUAAAGAAUAUUUUACGUUAUGAUGAUUACUUCAGAAAGCUGACGAUUUUUACAGAUUGUCUGUUUAUCAUACAGGUUUUCACUUUUAUGUUUAUGUUUUGAUGAAUACAAUUUACACUUCUUGC